UUGGAGGGCAAGUCUGGUGCCAGCAGCCGCGGUAAUUCCAGCUCCAAUAGCGUAUAUUAAAGUUGUUGCAGUUAAAAAGCUCGUAGUUGAAUUUCGGGAUCAAUGCGUCGGUCGUGCCUUCGGUACGUACUAGCGUCAUUGAUUCCUCCCUUCUGAAGAACCGUGAUGUCAUUAAUUUGGUGUUACGGGGAAUCAGGACUGUUACCUUGAAAAAAUUAGAGUGUUUAAAGCAGGCUAACGCUUGAAUACAUUAGCAUGGAAUAAUGAAAUAGGACGUUCGAACCUAUUUUGUUGGUUUCUAGGAUCGACGUAAUGAUUAAUAGGGAUGGUUGGGGGCAUUAGUAUUCAAUUGUCAGAGGUGAAAUUCUUGGAUUUAUUGAAGACUAACUACUGCGAAAGCACUUGCCAAGGAUGUUUUCAUUAAUCAAGAACGAAAGUUAGGGGAUCGAAGACGAUCAGAUACCGUCGUAGUCUUAACCAUAAACUAUGCCGACUAGGGAUCGGAUGAUGUUAAUUUUUUAAUGACUCAUUCGGCGCCUUACGGGAAAC
rnacentral:rRNA from 1 species